UGCGCAGGUGGUUUGGUAAGUUGGAUGUGAAAGCUCCUGGCUUAACUGGGAGAGGUCGUUCAAUACUACUAAACUUGAGAGUGGUAGAGGAAGGUGGAAUUCCGCGUGUAGUGGUGAAAUGCGUAGAUAUGCGGAGGAACACCAGUGGCGAAAGCGGCCUUCUGGACCAUUUCUGACACUCAGGCACGAAAGCUAGGGUAGCAAACG
rnacentral:rRNA from 1 species